UCUAGCUCAAUAUUUCUAUGUUGGUAUUUUGUAUGGUUCCCAAUUAGAGGCAGCUGGUAAUCGUUGCCUCUAAUUGGAGAUCAUAUUUAGGUAGCCAUUUUUCCCCACCUGUGUUUGUGGGAUAUUGUUUUGUUUGUGCAUCACUACUUUCACGUUUCGUUAUUGGUUUUUGUUUAAAGUUUCACCGUAAUAAAGAAGUGGCGCUCUACACACGCUGCGCCUUGGUCCGCUCAUUAGGACGAUUGUAACAGAAUAUCCCACCAAGCAGCAUGUGACAGAGGUAAAGGAGUUUGGACCUGGGAAGAAAUUAUGGGAGGUUGUGAGACCCUUCCUUGGAAGGAGACACCAAGGAAGGUGGAAGGAUAGCAACGCCGCCGGGGACCGCGGCCACAGAAACCCCAAGAUUAUUUUUGGGGGGGGCAUGAGAGAGGUUGGCGGAGCAGCGGAGAGUGGAAGAGGUCGUCAUCAGUCCGGUGCAAUCUGUGCCAGCUCUCCGCACCCUUCCUGAAGUGCGUGUCACCAGUCCAGUGCCACCUGUGCCGGCUCCACGCACCAGGCAUCCAGUGCGCCUCCCCAGUCCGGUACGUCUUGUGCCAGCUCCCCGCACUCGCCCUGAAGUGCGUGUCACCAGUCCGGUGCCACCUGUGCCAGCUCCAUGCACCAGGCCUCCAGUGCGUCUCCCCACUCCAAGGCCGGGGCCUUCCUCUGCGCCGAUGCCCAGUCCAGGCACAGCUUUCAGCCCGGUGCCAUGGUCGGAUCCGGCUCGACCAUAGAGAGCCCUUGGUUCUCUAUGGUGUCUUAGGUCAGGGUGUAACUAGGGGGUGUUCUAGCUCAAUAUUUCUAUGUUGGUCUUUUGUAUGGUUCCCAAUUAGAGGCAUCUGGUAAUCGUUGCCUAUAAUUGGGGAUCAUAAUUAGGGAGCCAUUUUUCCCACCUGUGUUUGUGGGAUAUUGUUUUGUGUUUGCAUGUGCACCACUACUUUCACAUUUCGUUAUUGGUUUAUUGUUUAAAGUUUCACUGUAAUAAAGAUGUGGAACUCUACA
ensembl:lncRNA